ACCUAUCAUACAAUUUCAUUCUAAGAAUACACAAACAUAUCAUCGAAAUCUUGAAGGUACAACUUUAAGACAAUGUGAAUAAAUAAACAUUAUGUUUGAUAAAGUAACUUCACUGCUAAAGGGUUAACCCUUUCGUGCCCAACGCGGCUGAAAACCGGCUCUGGCUCUUUAAUAUACAUGUCUUGUUUCCAUAAGUUUUGAAUUAAAAUCUUCCACCAA
rnacentral:lncRNA from 1 species